GCCGCCGGGAGAGUCGGCGACGCCGCCAGCUCUGCGCGC
rnacentral:miRNA from 13 species